AAUUAGAGAGGCCAUUUGUACGGCAGCCGGCGAAGGGUAAACAUGAACGAUAUUCUUUGGAAAAUCUGCAUCUUUUUGUGCCGCGCUUGUUGUUGCCUCCGGUCUGCAGUGCUAUGUGUGUGACAACGCAAGGAGCGAGGUCUGUGGAACAACGGUCGACCCAGAGAGAAUUAAGCCCCAUGAGUGCAGUGGCGAAAACAUAAAAUGUGGAACACAAAUACAAGAUCCUGCAGAAGACGGUUGGGUUGGUGUGAUAAGAGCGUGUUACCCUCUAGGAUCCCUACCCAGAAUGAAUGAAACUAACGGAUGUCACCAGUGGACCAACGACAAUUUUACGGCCCGUUUCUGUUUUUGUGAAACUGAUGGAUGCAACAGUGAGAUAUAAAGGAAAUGAAAAGCUAAAAUAUUGCAUUAGCCUCAAAUCAGAGACUGAACGACGAUGUAACUUAAGAUAUAUGAAUAAAUAAUACUUGAAUAAUU